UGCAGUCGAGGGGUAUAGGUUUUCGGACCUAGAGACCGGCGCACGGGUGCGUAACGCGUAUGCAAUCUACCUUUUACAGAGGGAUAGCCCAGAGAAAUUUGGAUUAAUACCUCAUAGUAUUAUUGAGUGGCAUCAUUUAAUAAUUAAAGUCACAACGGUAAAAGAUGAGCAUACGUCCCAUUAGCUUGUUGGUAAGGUAACGGCUUACCAAGGCAACGAUGGGUAGGGGUCCUGAGAGGGAGAUCCCCCACACUGGUACUGAGACACGGACCAGACUCCUACGGGAGGCAGCAGUGAGGAAUAUUGGUCAAUGGGCGCAAGCCUGAACCAGCCAUGCCGCGUGCAGGAUGACGGUCCUAUGGAUUGUAAACUGCUUUUGUACAGGAAGAAACAGUUCUACGUGUAGAGCCUUGACGGUACUGUAAGAAUAAGGAUCGGCUAACCCCGUGCCAGCAGCCGCGGUAAUACGGAAGAUCCAAGCGUUAUCCGGAAUCAUUGGGUUUAAAGGGUCCGUAGGCGGUUUUGUAAGUCAGUGGUGAAAGCCCAUCGCUCAACGGUGGAACGGCCAUUGAUACUGCAAGACUUGAAUUAUUGGGAAGUAACUAGAAUAUGUAGUGUAGCGGUGAAAUGCUUAGAGAUUACAUGGAAUACCAAUUGCGAAGGCAGGUUACUACCAAUAUAUUGACGCUGAUGGA
rnacentral:rRNA from 1 species